GAAAGUAUAGCUGAGGGGUAGAGCGUGUGCUUAGCAUGCACAAGGUCCUGGGUUCAAUCCCAGUACCUCCA
rnacentral:tRNA from 1 species